rnacentral:rRNA from 1 species
UACGUAGGGCGCAAGCGUUGUCCGGAAUUAUUGGGCGUAAAGCGCGUGUAGGCGGCUUGGCAAGUCGGGUGUGAAAGCCCUCAGCUCAACUGAGGAAGUGCGCCCGAAACUGCUGAGCUCGAGUACCGGAGAGGGUGGCGGAAUUCCCCAAGUAGAGGUGAAAUUCGUAGAGAUGGGGAGGAACACCGGUGGCGAAGGCGGCCACCUGGACGGUCACUGACGCUGAGACGCGAAAGCGUGGGUAGCAAACAGG